ACGAACGCUGGCGGCGUGCUUAACACAUGCCAGUCGAACGGAAAGGCCCUGCUUUUGUGGGGUGCUCGAGUGGCGAACGGGUGAGUAACACGUGAGUAACCUGCCCUUGACUUUGGGAUAACUUCAGGAAACUGGGGCUAAUACCGGAUAGGAGCUCCUGCUGCAUGGUGGGGGUUGGAAAGUUUCGGCGGUUGGGGAUGGACUCGCGGCUUAUCAGCUUGUUGGUGGGGUAGUGGCUUACCAAGGCUUUGGCGGGUAGCCGGCCUGAGAGGGUGACCGGCCACAUUGGGACUGAGAUACGGCCCAGACUCCUACGGGAGGCAGCAGUGGGGAAUAUUGCACAAUGGGCGGAAGCCUGAUGCAGCAACGCCGCGUGCGGGAUGACGGCCUUCGGGUUGUAAACCGCUUUCGCCUGUGACGAAGCGUGAGUGACGGUAAUGGGUAAAGAAGCACCGGCUAACUACGUG
rnacentral:rRNA from 1 species